CGCGUAGGAACCUACCUAGUAGUUUGGGAUAGCCCAGAGAAAUUUGGAUUAAUACCGGAUACGCCCUACGGGGGAAAGGGGGCUUCGGCUCUCGCUAUUAGAUGGGCCUGCGUAAGAUUAGCUAGUUGGUGAGGUAAUGGCUCACCAAGGCGACGAUCUUUAGCUGGUCUGAGAGGAUGAUCAGCCACACUGGAACUGAGACACGGUCCAGACUCCUACGGGAGGCAGCAGUGGGGAAUAUUGCACAAUGGGCGAAAGCCUGAUGCAGCCAUGCCGCGUGUGUGAAGAAGGCUCUAGGGU
rnacentral:rRNA from 1 species